CACAGACUCACAGAAGGGCUGAGCCUGGACAGGACCUCUGGAGGUUAUUGGUCCAGCUCCUGAGCUCAAGCAGGGCCACCCAGAGCCACUUGCCCAGGACCCUGUCCAGGUGGCUUUUGAAUACCUCCAAGCUUGAGACUGUGUCCUCUCGUUCUGUCAGUUGCUGCCUGGUGGAAGAGACCGACCCCCACCUGACUACAACCACCUUUCAGGAAGUUGUAGAGAGCCUCUAAGCCUCCUCUUCUCCAGGCUAAACAACCCCAGCUCCUUCAAACAUUCCUCACAGGGCUUGUGUUCCAAGCCCCUCACCAACCUUGUUGCCCUCCUCUGGACGCGCUCAAGCAUCUCAACAGGAACAUGACCGGCAUGUGGCACACACCCUCCCUCUCCUUCCUUUACCACCCAGAGAGUAGGAAACUUUCUACAGGGAAAUUUCUACAAGAACCUUGACCUAAAAGUAAAGAAACACACUUAUCCCUGGUCUGUAGCCCGUUAUGGUCCUACAGGCAGCUGGAAGCUCUUCACAGCCAUGGAUGAAGGGAUCUCCACACUACCCACCAUCCUUGUACCCCAUCAGGAUCCUACAGGCCGAUGCAAGCUUCCCACAGCCAUGGAGAAAGGGAGCUCUGCACCAUGCACCAUCUCUGUGUGAGACUUACCUCAAAAUAAAUGUUGAGACUGAUGAAUUCA